rnacentral:rRNA from 1 species
AACGAACGCUGGCGGCAGGCUUAACACAUGCAAGUCGAACGCCCCGCAAGGGGAGUGGCAGACGGGUGAGUAACGCGUGGGAACGUACCUUUCAGUUCGGAAUAACUCAGGGAAACUUGUGCUAAUACCGGAUACGCCCGCAAGGGGAAAGAUUUAUCGCUGAAAGAUCGGCCCGCGUUGGAUUAGCUAGUUGGUGGGGUAAAGGCCUACCAAGGCGACGAUCCAUAGCUGGUCUGAGAGGAUGAUCAGCCACACUGGGACUGAGACACGGCCCAGACUCCUACGGGAGGCAGCAGUGGGGAAUAUUGGACAAUGGGCGCAAGCCUGAUCCAGCCAUGCCGCGUGUGUGAUGAAGGCCUUAGGGUUGUAAAGCAACUUUCACCGAUGAAGAUAAUGACGGUAGUCGGAGAAGAAGCCCCGGUAACUUCGUG